UUCAACAAAAGUUCCAGUUUUUAUUCUCAAUAUUUCCAGAACUAGAUCAAUCAGAAAUUCCAGAUGGAUAGGUUUCAUUUAAUUUUGAACAGAAAACGUACUAUGCAAAAACUAAUCAAAUAUAUAUGAAAAACAAACAUAUUCAUUCAAACCUGAGAAACAUGUGCUGUAGCAUAUACAAAUCGAAUUAACAAAAAGAGUUAUAUUACUCACAAUCUUUCCCAUCAACAAGAAAUUCACAGAAAAUAACUAAUAUAAAACUUUAAAUAACUAAUGCCAAUUACAUAGAGACAAAAAACAUAUCUAACCAUACUGUCUAGUAAGAAAUAUGUUUUAACACAUAACCCUCGCUUUAAGUUCAACCCGUGAGGUAUGCAAGACAUGAUAUACUACUACCAACUAUCAAACAGAUACGGAAAUAACUAGAUGGACUUUCUCACACAUAAUUCAUGCUUAAAUAAUUAAGUUGGCUAUUGCAUGUAAUAAGAAUGAUUUUUCAUUUGUACCAAAAAAGAAAUGAUUUUUUAUAUUGCACAUAUUCUAGUUGUUAGGCAAUGUUUUUAGAUGUGAAAUUCAGGCUGGAAACCUAAGCAAAAUAUUAUAAUUAUUUUAAAAAGAAAUUUUUAUAAUAUAUAUUCAUGAGGAUAUCAGCAAAAAAAAAAAUGAUUUGUUAUAUUGGACAUGAUUGUUUUAUAUAUACACUGAGGUAUGCAAAGACAUAUGCUACCAAACAGAUACGGCAAUAAUACACCAAACUCGUUGACUUCCAUUUUCUUUAUGUAUGUAGGUGACAUUUUUU
rnacentral:lncRNA from 1 species